AAUAGAUACCCUGGUAGUCCACGCCGUAAACGAUGGAUACUAGCUGUUUGAGCGCAAGUUUGAGUGGCUAAGCGAAAGUGAUAAGUAUCCCACCUGGGGAGUACGGGCGCAAGCCUGAAACUCAAAGGAAUUGACGGGGGCCCGCACAAGCGGUGGAGCAUGUGGUUUAAUUCGAUGAUACGCGAGGAACCUUACCAGGGCUUAAAUGUAGAUUGACGUAUUUGGAAACAGAUAUUUCUUCGGACAAUUUACAAGGUGCUGCAUGGUUGUCGUCAGCCCGUGCCGUGAGGUGUCAGGUUAAGUCCUAUAACGAGCGCAACCCCUGUUGUUAGUUGCCAGCGAGUAAUGUCGGGAACUCUAGCAAGACUGCCAGUGUAAACUGUGAGGAAGGUGGGGAUGACGUCAAAUCAUCACGGCCCUUACGUCCUGGGCCACACACGUGCUACAAUGGCCGGUACAGAGAGCAGCCACUUAGCGAUAAAGAGCGAAUCUAUAAAGCCGGUCACAGUUCGGAUCGGAGU
rnacentral:rRNA from 1 species